CACGAGGCCCCUCUGCCCACCUCUGCUUCCUGCCUGCCCGCCCACCAUGCCUGGCUUGGUGUCUUUGCUGAAUGGUCUCAGUGAAUGUCCACCACUCCUGGAGACCAGCUCCUGACGGUGCAGGGGUGGAGCCCACUUGUCAGAUGAGGAAACUGAGUCUCUGGAUCUUCCCAUGGCCCCACCCGCUUCCUCCUGCCUGGAGAAAAGAGGAACGGGGAACUGACGGCCAGGGCAUGGUCCUGGGAGGCUGGAGACAGCACUGAAUGAACUGGACACAGAUGCCUGCAGAUGCUCCCCGCCUGCCUGGCCUUGGCAGACAUCACUAAUCGAUCCUCUUUCCCACUGAAAGCAGGAUUCCCCCAGCACGGUGCACUGGCUGCCGGUCAGCACGUGAGGGGCACCAGCCUGUGAUUCCCAGGGAGGGACGGUGAACGGGGACUUGGAAGACCCCAGCGGGAGCCCCCUAGAUGGUUUAAGCUGUUUCCUCUCAAUCUCUUUCAACCAGUAUCUAUUGAGCCCCUACUGUGCGCCAGGUGCUGGGGACACAGCAGGGAGCAGGUGGGCACAUUGCCAGCCCUCGUGGGGCUGAUACUCUGCUGAGGGAGGUGGGCACACAAGGGAACAAAUGAGGAGAUAUUCCAGACUCGGAUGCGUGCUGCAGCCACUACCAGGGGAGUGUGGUGGAG
rnacentral:lncRNA from 1 species